CCCUUAGAUGUUCUGGGCCGCACGCGCGCUACACUGGUGCGUUCAACAAGUUUACAACCUUGAUUGACAAGUCUGGGUAAUCUUUUGAAUGCGCACCGUGCUAGGGAUAGAUUAUUGCAAUUAUUAAUCUUGAACGAGGAAUUCCUAGUAAACGCAAGUCAUCAGCUUGCAUUGAUUACGUCCCUGCCCUUUGUACACACCGCCCGUCGCACCUACUGAUUGAAUGGUCCGGUGAAGCCUCCGGAUUGGCGCGCACCUCGGUGCCGCCGAGAAGUUGGCUAAACCUUACCAUUUAGAGGAAGGUGAAGUCGUAACA
rnacentral:rRNA from 1 species